rfam:Rhizobium sp. Root149 contig_11, whole genome shotgun sequence.
AGUCGGGCAAAAUGUCGGCCUGCAAUCUCCAGGCUGCGUAAAUCGGUAUCUGCUUUCCUUUGACCACGGAUGUACUGGCACUGUUGAAAGCAAAACCCUUGAUGAAGGCCGGGCAUUGCCUGGCCUUUUUCAUGU